rnacentral:rRNA from 1 species
GACGGACCCGCACAAGCAGCGGAGCGUGUGGUUUAAUUCGAUGACUACACGAAGAACCUUACCAGGUUUGACAUGCAAGUGGUAGGAAUCCGAAAGGUGACCGACCUUCGGGGAGCUUGCACAGGUGCUGCAUGGCUGUCGUCAGCUCGUGUCGUGAGAUGUUGGGUUAAGUCCCGCAACGAGCGCAACCCUUAUCCCUAGUUGCCAUCAGGUAAAGCUGGGAACUCUGGGGAGACUGCCGGUGAUAAACCGGAGGAAGGCGGGGAUGACGUCAAGUCCUCAUGGCCCUUACAUCCCGGGCUACACACGUGCUACAAUGGCAGGUACAGAGGGCUGCGAAGCCGCGAGGUGGAGCGAAUCCCAGAAAACCUGUCUCAGUCCGGAUUGAAGUCUGCAACUCGACUUCAUGAAGGCGGAAUCGCUAGUAACCGCGAAUCAGCAGGUCGCGGUGAAUACGUUCCCGGGCCUU